UACGUAGGUGGCAAGCGUUGUCCGGAUUUAUUGGGUUUAAAGGGUGCGUAGGCGGCCUUAUAAGUCAGUGCUGAAAUAUCCCGGCUUAACCGGGAGGGUGGCAUUGAUACUGUAGGGCUUGAGUGUAGUCGAAGUAGGCGGAAUUGACGGUGUAGCGGUGAAAUGCUUAGAUAUCGUCAAGAACACCGAUAGUGUAGACAGCUUACUAGGCUACAACUGACGCUGAGGCACGAAAGUGUGGGGAUCAAACAGG
rnacentral:rRNA from 1 species